GAAUUGGAUGGAGCUUGCUCCUGAUGAUAGCGCGACGGUGAGUAACACGUGGGUAACUGCCUGUAAGACUGGGAUAACUCCGGGAAACCGGGGCUAAUACCGGAUAACUUUUUUCUUCGCAUGAGGGAGAAUUGAAAGAUGGCUUUCGGCUAUCACUUACAGAUGGACCCGCGGCGCAUAGCUAGUUGGUGAGGUAACGGCUCACCAAGGCGACGAUGCGUAGCCGACUUGAGAGGGUGAUCGGCCACACUGGGACUGAGACACGGCCCAGACUCCUACGGGAGGCAGCAGUAGGGAAUCUUCCGCAAUGGACGAAAGUCUGACGGAGCAACGCCGCGUGAGUGAUGAAGGUUUUCGGAUCGUAAAACUCUGUUGUUAGGGAAGAACAAGUAUCGUUCGAAUAGGGCGGUACCUUGACGGUACCUAACCAGAAAGCCACGGCUAACUACGUGCCAGCAGCCGCGGUAAUACGUAGGUGGCAAGCGUUGUCCGGAAUUAUUGGGCGUAAAGCGCGCGCAGGCGGUUUCUUAAGUCUGAUGUGAAAUCUUGCGGCUCAACCGCAAGCGGCCAUUGGAAACUGGGAGACUUGAGUGCAGAAGAGGAGAGUGGAAUUCCACGUGUAGCGGUGAAAUGCGUAGAGAUGUGGAGGAACACCAGUGGCGAAGGCGACUCUCUGGUCUGUAACUGACGCUGAGGCGCGAAAGCGUGGGGAGCGAACAGGAUUAGAUACCCUGGUAGUCCACGCCGUAAACGAUGAGUGCUAAGUGUUAGAGGGUUUCCGCCCUUUAGUGCUGCAGCUAACGCAUUAAGCACUCCGCCUGGGGAGUACGGCCGCAAGGCUGAAACUCAAAGGAAUUGACGGGGGCCCGCACAAGCGGUGGAGCAUGUGGUUUAAUUCGAAGCAACGCGAAGAACCUUACCAGGUCUUGACAUCCUCUUGACCUCCCUAGAGAUAGGGAUUUCCCUUCGGGGACAGGAGUGACAGGUGGU
rnacentral:rRNA from 1 species